AGUCUGUAAAGAUGGCGGCUAGAAGGAGCGCAAUAGUCAAAACUGAUAUAUUUGACCCUGAAUGUGAGGUUGAAGAGGGAGAAGAGCAGCAAGAAGAACGAGAGGAAGUAGUGCGAAUGCAGCAAGAAGUUUCUGAAUGGUGCUCAUGUGGAAACUGUGCAACAAUGCCUACAGAGCAGGAGAAUGUCUGCUGCCGGGAAAUACCACAGGUUCUAAGACGGAUGCAGCAGGUAGAUGACCAUAUGACCUGCAUGUUGGACCACCCUGGUUUAGAGCCUGUUUGCGUGAAUGCCUACUGUUGACAGAGGGAAUUCAACCACUACAGAGCAAAUUAUGGCCGUUUACAGAUUAGGGGAAUAGAGAAGCGUUUCAGGUAUGUGGGAUACCGAAGCUUUGUUGGAUGGCGUUGAGGCUUCCUUGGACGGAGGGUAUGGGUGGUUGUUCCAGCAUGUGUGGUGCUACGUAUAUGCCGUGAAUUUCCGGAUCCAGAAGGCAGAUACGUAGGAUUCAAGCUGCCACCUCUUGAUUGAAGCGAGAGACAUAGCUUGCGAUGACCUCCUUCUUUGUCUGGUCGCACAUACUCUGCUCGCAAGUCUCUUGGGAUGGGAAUCUUAAUUACCUCCUCCAUGUAAGGUGCCGGGUCCACAAAGACUUUUUUGAAGAUCAGGUCCAUCAAGACCUGAAC